GGAGCCCGGCUGUUUAUUCAUUCACGUCAGUCCCUCCUCCUCCGUCCCCUUCCUUCCUGCUCCGCGCCACGGCUCUCCGCCGCUCCAACUCUCCCCCGAUAUCCACCAUAAUAUUCACUAUCAUCACAGUCACGUCGCCACCAUAAACCCAUUUUGGAAUCAGGUUUCAGUAACUGGAUGAAGGUACCGGAUUGAGAGAAGGUGGUCGGGCCAGAGAUAAGAAGAUUGCAUGAGAAAAAGGAAAGAAACAGAAUUAGGGAUGAAAAAGAGGGGGGAGGGAGAGGAAGGUAGGGGGAGAGAGAGGAAGGUAGGGGGAGAGAGAGGAAGGUAGGGGGAGAGAGAGGGAGAGAUGGAUGGAGAUGGAGAGAGAGCAAAGGGUGAACUGUAUCCAUGGAAACAUGAGGAAAGAGUGAUGGAAGAGAGAAUGAGAGGAGAAAGAGUGAUGUAGUUUGGAACUGAGUUGGAGAGUGGUAGAAUGAAAUGGUAUGGCUGCCAUUGCUGCACCUCCAAGUGCCUCCAUGCUUACUGAGAUACGGCUUUUUGCAAAAUACCCAUCUUCUCCAAUCAUUGUUUUUAAUUGUAUAGCUUUCUAAUGAUGUUCUUCAUCGGGCAACUCCAAAUCAGCUGAGCAUAGACAAAAUCAUAUGGCAAUUAAAUAAAUAAAGAGCCUACUUAUA